rnacentral:rRNA from 1 species
GACGAACGCUGGCGGCGUGCUUAACACAUGCAAGUCGAACGGAAAGGCCCUGCUCUUGUGGGGUUCUCGAGUGGCGAACGGGUGAGUAACACGUGAGUAACCUGUCCCUGACAUUCGGAUAACUUCAGGAAACUGGGGCUCAUAUCGGAUAGGAGCUCCUGCUGCAUGGUGGGGGAUGGAAAGUUUCGGCGGUUUUGGAUGGUCUCGCGGCUUAUCAGCUUGAUGGUGGGGUAGGGGCUUUCCAAGGCUUUGACGGGUAGCCGGCCUGGGAGGGGGACCGGCGACAUGGGGACUGAGGUACGGCCCAGACUCCUACGGGAGGCAACAGUGGAGAAUAUUGCGCAGUGAGCGGAAGCGUGAUGCGGCAGCGCCGCGUGCGGGAUGACGGCCUUCGGGUUGUGAACCGAUUUCGCCUGUGACGAGGCGUGAGUGACGGUAAUGGGUAAGAAAGCACCGGCUAACUACGUG